rnacentral:rRNA from 1 species
GAUGAACGCUGGCGGCGUGCUUAAUACAUGCAAGUCGAGCGAAGCGGGGACGGGUGAGUAAUACGUGGAUAACCUCCUAUAAGACUGGGAUAACUUCGGGAAACCGUAGCAAAACCGGCUACUUAUCGAUGGAUCCGCGCUGCAUUAGCUAGUUGGUAAGGUAACGGCUUAACAAGGCAACGUUGCAUAGCCGACCUGAGAGGGUGGUCGGCCACACUGGGACUGAGACACGGUCCAGACGCCUACGGGAGGCAGCAGUAGGGAAUCUUCCGCAAUGGGCGAAAGCCUGACAGAGCAACGCCGCGUGUGUGAUGAAGGUCUUCGGAUCGUAAAACUCUGUUAUUAGGGAUGCGGUACCUAAUCAGAAAGCCACGGCUAACUACGUGCCAGCAGCCGCGGUAAUAC